UUCUCAUUCAGGUACCCCACUGCUCACAACUGGAUUUGGCUUGGACCCUGGCCAGGGCGUGCGAAAUUUGCUUCGAGUUGCUGCCCCUCGUGGAGUCCAUGGUGCAUGAAAUGCAAAUGGUCGCAUUUCAGAUGUCAAUACGAGUGGGAGAUGGGGAUGGAGGGUAGCAGUCACAUGUAAGAGUGGAUGUGGGGAGUUUGCUAACCCAACCAUUUGCCGGCCGUCCUUGGUUCAACCAUUUUCAAGCGAGCUUGGCCAAGGGGUUAUAACUACGCUUUUGAUGAUGGAGCCAGUAGAUUAUGCCCUAAUGCAAAUGGGAUUGGAUAUCUGAUGGUACAGUUGGUAGUGCAUCCACUGCUCCAGUAAUUCACAAGCCCAGCAAAAGAGAAACUGUGAAGAUGGCUUCUUCCUCAAACAUUUUCCUGCACCUUCCAACGAGAAUUCUUCUUAUCCUCUAUCUAUGCUUCAAAACAUAAAUGGCUAUGCUAUCUUAACUGUCUUGUAAGCAUGAAACUUUCUGCUGAACAGAUGCUCACCAGAAUAGAUCCCACAGGUUAAUAAGUGAUAAAUCUUGCAGAAAACACACAGGAUAGGAAAAAAUUUAGGCUUUUACAUUUUCAUAGAUUUGAAUUAGGAACCACAAAACUCGGCUUUGUGCUAUUGUAUUCUCAAAAUGC
rnacentral:misc_RNA from 1 species